rnacentral:tRNA from 1 species
GGGGUUGUAGCUUAGUGGUAAAGUGCUCACCUAGCACGUGUGAGACCCUAGGUUUGAUCCCCAGGACCACA